GGAGGUAUAGCUCAGUGGUAAAGCGCAUGCUUUGUGUGCAUGAGGUCCUGGGUUCAAUCCUCAAUGCCUCUG